ensembl:misc_RNA 7SK 7SK RNA
ACAUGUGAGGGCAAUUGUAUGUGACAUCUGUCACCCUGCUAAUCAUCGGUAUUCACUUGGUCAUGGAUGUCUUAUCCUUGCACCCCCUCUGUGUGUCCCCUAUCCCCAAGCUAUUGACACUCAAAGACCAGAGCCUCCCAAGUUAAGGGGUACCCUUCUUUGGUCAAGGGUAUAUGAAUAGCUGCACUUCUUUGUUAAAACCACCAAACAAGUUCACAAGGAAGCCAUUUCAACUUUUGAUGCAAAUUGUGUGUUUAAAAAUUAAGAAAACCCCCUACUCCAUGGAAAACAGAGUGGGGACAAUGACUU